rnacentral:rRNA from 1 species
GAUGAACGCUGGCGGCGUGCUUAACACAUGCAAGUCGAACGAAGCACCUUGAUUUGAUUCUUCGGAUGAAGAUCUUGGUGACUGAGUGGCGGACGGGUGAGUAACGCGUGGGUAACCUGCCUCAUACAGGGGGAUAACAGUUGGAAACGACUGCUAAUACCGCAUAAGCCCACAGCUCGGCAUCGAGCAGAGGGAAAAGGAGUGAUCCGCUUUGAGAUGGCCUCGCGUCCGAUUAGCUAGUUGGUAAGGUAACGGCUUACCAAGGCGACGAUGCAUAGCCGAGUUGAGAGACUGAUCGGCCACAUUGGGACUGAGACACGGCCCAA